UAAAGCCCACAGACACGCUGUUCUGGCGUUAACUUACUACCUUGUGAAAGCACAGAGGGCUUAAUGAUUAAAGGACAGAAGGACUGGAGUUUGCUGGUGGCCAGCCUGUGAGGAGUCAUCUACCUGGCCUCCAGUACAGGAGACAGAUGUGGGUAAGAAUUAACAUUAAACUCUUGUCUGUAUGACAUAUUAAGUUGGGUUUGCUUUAUAUGUGUGUGUAUGAGUUAGGUAUAUUAAGUUUGUUCUGUGUGUGUGUGUGUGUGUGUGUGAGAGAGAGAGAGAGAGAGAGAGAGAGAGAGAGGGAGAGAGAGUACAUACUUGUUAGUGUGAGUGUGUUUAAUUUGUUUAACAAAUCAUGGCCUCUAAUACCUAAUCAGCUAAUUAAUUAAAUUAAUCUAAAUUUAUGUGGAUGCAUAUUUAAAAAUAGAAACAGUAAGGAAACAGAAACUCUGCUAUCUAGGCAUGUGUUACACAGACCAGACAAGAAAACAUUAAGAACAAGCAUUUUAUUUAAAAAAAAAAAUGUAAUCUGUCAUUCUAAAAAAAAAAAAACCCAAAAGACCAUGGUCACAGUCACAGCCCAGUGCAGAUGCUGGUGGAAGUCUGGUCAAAGCAGCCAUGUCGUCUCACUGCCUGAUCCCUGGCUGCUGGAGGGAUUUGGGGUCAACCUUAUAAAGUCACUUCCCCUUGGACUAUGUUCAAAACUCCAGUCCUCACAUGGUCAUGUGGAAGUUUGAUUAAGCAGAAGUGGGGGUGGUGUGUGUGUGGGGGGGUCUUAAAUAAUUUUUACAGAGCAAUUAGCUGCCAGAUAUGUCCCCAAUCAUAGUUUCUUGGAAUUUACCUUUCGCCUCAAUCCAGAGAAUAGCACUAUGGGACCAUCAGAGGAACUGGGCCCCUGGCAAAAGCACCGUUCCCUGCAUGUCUGUGUCAUCAUGACCUCAGCUUCUCCCUCACACCACCUUUGUUUGAUAUGUAGGCAACACUGCCGUCGUUGUUAGUCACUGUAGCUUAGAGCUGCAAAUUCGAGGAAAUCUGAACAUAGAGAGCAUGCCGGCUGGCUAGUGAAAAGCUCCCUUGACUGUUACCAGCAUAAACAUGAGUAUGCACAAUGCUGCCAUGCACGUUUGUUUAAUUUAAGAGGGCAUAAAGUGCUGACUGUGUGUUAAGCCUCUUUCAAAGAAUCUCAUAAAUAUUAAUUUACUGAACCCUACUAACAAUCUAAAAGUGAGAAUCCUCCCCCAAAAAAUGUAACAAAUAAAUGAAGACCCAACUAAUUUUUAAGCACAAAAGCAUCUUGGGGAAUUUUUAUUGAGAAAGAAGGACCUUAAAGGCCCAGCAAGAUAAAAGGGUUUACCUGGGCUCCUUAGACUAAGAAGAACAGAACUGAAACCAGGACAGAGACCAAAGUGUAUAUCUCACCACCUUCCCUUCCAGCGGUCCUUUGUCUUAACAUGGCUCCAUGGCUAAAGACACACAUCUAGAUCUCUUAGUGCUUCUUCUGAGUAUUGGGGGAGGCUUGACCCACAGCCUAGAAAAAAUGCUUUGGAGAACAGGAGAAUCAAGAAAAAGUUUCUCAGACCAGGGAUGUAGCUUAGUUGGCAGAAUGCUUGUCUAGCAUACACAAGGUCCUAGAUUCCGUCUCCAGCACCACAUGAGCUAGGCAGAGUGGUACACACCUAUAGUCUCACCACUUGAAUGGUGGAGGCAGCAAGAUCAGGAGUUCAAAGUCCUCCUCAGUCAUAUAUCAAGUUCAGGGUCAGCCCAACUUCAUGAGAAACUCUGUCUUGAAAAAAGUUGUUUUUUUUUGUUUGUUUGUUUGUUUGUUUUUUUCAGAAAGAAGAAAGAAAAAGAAUGAACAAUACUGAAGUCCUGUGGCAGGUGAUCCCAGGAGUCUUCACUUAAUAAAUCCUAAAUGUCUUGGCCCAAUUAGCAAGGAAACUAAAACUAAAGAGGGUUGCAUCAAAUUCAUGACAUAAAACUUUUAAAAAGAUGAGCAUGGGUAGUAUUCAUUGCCAUAAACAAGCUACAAAAUUCAAUUUGUUUGAAGUCAAGAAACAAACAAAAACAGAGAAAGCAACUCUGAGAGCCAAGAUUAGGUGAAUUGCCAUGACCACAGACACCUCAAACAGCACUGGGUGAAGAAGACUACAUCACAGUAGGAGACAGGCAGGGCUCACCUGACUCAGCCGGGAGACUCCUGCCUACUUUUUGCUUUAUUUUAUCACAUCAGCCAGAAAGUAGUGACUGAUGGCAGAACAGUUGGGGCUGCAUCAUCACGGAUGCACUUGACUUGAGUUCCAAACAUAGAAGCAGAGGUAUUUUCUGAAUGGGGAUGAGCCAGUAUGUCAGCCUGCAACUACUUGGAAGCCUUGGCAGGACAUUUUGAAGCUCACACUGGCCAAGCCAAAUGGGAUUGUCAAUGCGUGUGGACACUUAGCUUUCAAGGCCCUAGCUUUCUCUACAUGGCAAGAGUCAAAGUUCUGUCCUGAAAGGACCACGUGGAAUGCGAUUCCCUUUUCCUUUUGAAUGAUGUAUUUGUUUCUUAGCUCUAGGCACACUGAAUGUUUCCUCAAACUCUUCAGAUCCUAACCAAUCCCACUGGCUAUUUACUGAAGAUACUAAUUGCUAGCUCUAUCUACAGGAUGUAAGGUGGCUUUUAGAUUCAUCAGGAUAGUAUAAAAGAAAAAAAUAUAUACCAUAUAAAAUAAGAUGUACAUAUCAGAGCUGAACAUUUCCAGGAAAGAAACGGGGUGCCUCACUCUCAGGGUGAGGGUGGGAUGCAUUUUGCUAUUCCCUUUGGGGAAAUUUGCUAAGGCACUUUAACAGAGGCUAAGGAGUUUUAACUGCCUGAGCCCUUUGACAGGAGUAUUAGCAUAGCAGCUUCACUUGAUUUAAGAAGGGAAUUAUUCCACCAUCCACACUAAUCUCUUCUGGCAAGAAGCAGAAUACCAGCAAUGGCUUCUCACAGAAGAUGACAGGGCCCCAGACUUCCUUCCCUUCCUGGACGGGAACUUGCAACUCUUCAAAAUGUUAAUAUAACCUCACGGAUGAUAACAAAGUCACAGAAAAGUCUUACAUCACAGAAGCUGUCUGUUUUCCUCUCACACAAUUUUAAUAGUCUUUAGACUCUCCCUACACACAUGCACAAGUGUUCACGUGUUGGGGUGGGGGUAGGCACACCAGUACACACAGGCCAUUGGAGGAUGUCAGGUGUCACGUCUCAUCUCUCCAGCUUAUUCUCACAAGACAGGAUCUCUCACUGAGUAUAAGCCCCAGAGGCCCUUCUGUUUCUGCCCCACACAGGGCUGGGGGUUUCAGGUGAGCAGGCACACAUUUAAUUUUUUUAAACUUUUGAUUGAUUGGUUGGUUGUAUGUUUUUGUGUGCCCCAGCACGCAUGUGAAGUUCCGAGGACGACUCGUGGGAGGAAGUUCUCUUCUACCAUGUUGGUUCUGAGGAUGGAACUCAGGUUCCAUGGGAAAGGCCUUUACCAACAUGAGUGAUCUCAGUGGCCCCGUGUCCAGCUUUCUUAUGGAGAGGCUAAGGAUGUGACCUCAGAUCUCUGUGCUUUUGCAGUACAUGCAGUACACGCAGUACACGCAGUACACGCAGUACACGCAGUACAUGCAGUACACACAGUACACGCAGUACACGCAGUACAUGCAGUACACACAGUACACGCAGUACAUGCAGUACACUAACACCGAGACAAAAGAGAUAGCAUUGCUUGCUUUCCACACUUGCACCGGGCCUGGCGCCUCUGCCAAAUGCCUGUGUGGGAAAGUGACUGUGCCCCACAGGUAAAAGUGCACCUAUUCAAGGCCACGAGAAUUUGCAAACCAGAACCCUUCCCACUACAUUUUUAAAGACCUUUCCUUUUAAAGGACAGAAGAGAAAGAGAGGAAGAGAACUGAACAAAUUUGCCUUUUAUACAUGGUGCUACCACAGAAACCACUUCGGGAGUGCUUCAAAACUAACAACUCAGCAAAGAUAUGUGUCAAUGGAGCAGCCACUGAGUCGGGUCCCCAAGUCCUUUUCAGAAAGCUGCUUUCAUUUCAGUGAACAUGCACCCCAAUGCUGCUGUGGUCGCUCUUAGAAAACUUUCUGCCCCUCCCCUGCGCCACUGGGAAUUUGGUAACCAUAGAUUCUGUGUCCUGCUGAGGCUUGAUAUGUAGAGCUGUAUUCUACCUGCUAUUAAGCUGCUGAUAGCAGUGUUUCUGUUGCAAUUUAUGAGCAAUGUCAGCUGAAGGCAGAGAGUAUUGUACACACUAUAUUUUCCCAGCUGGAGGUCUCCGUGAAUGGAAAGCAAAAACAUGAAUACACAUGGGCUGAGGGCUUGAGGGAAUAAAAAGACAGGGGAAAAACUCUGUAGGCUAAAAUCAGGUGGGUGGGCUUGAUUACAAACCAAGUAGAUAAUAAAAUAUUCAAAAGAAGUGCCAGGUAAAUGGUCAGGAAAUAGAUCCAUAAUAUGAGGAAAGGCCAACCUAAUUCCUAGAUGUGCCAAGACUCACCUUCCUACUUGGGGUUUUAAAUAGCUUACCCGUAGCCAAAGGUCACUGGAAACCACAAAAACAAAACCCACUGUUUCCAAGAGUUACCUCAGCAGGCAGCCAGGGUGGCACAGCCAAUCCCAACACCUCCGCCUACACUCUUCCUCAAAAGGCAAAUUGUUCUUAACUAUUUUACAUGGAGAGAGAAAUGGAGUUGUUUUUGUGGUUAGGAAAUGGAUGCUUCGUAUUGUCCAACUGUCAAUGGGCCUUUUAAAAAGAAAUGAAAUACACAGAGAAACCACUAGUUCUCAGAAACCCAAUUCUACAGAGAAAGGUUCACAUUUAUGAGUCAAGAAACAGACAGGCAAAGAUCACGUAGAAAACCAUUCUUUCCCCCUAAGAACUCUACCGAGGAACACAACAGAAAACAUUCCCAGGGUUCUACUUAAAGAACUUUUAUUUAAGUCAUUUAACUUUUAGCUGAACAAAGUGCAGAGCUGCUUUGUCUGGGUGGUUGAUUUCCAAUUCGGCUGUGUUUUAUGCUUGCAGGAAUUUCUAUUUCUAACCAUCAUGCUAUACUGGUCCCUAAAUAGUGUUGGUCAGUUGAUCUGAGUUCUAGGCCAGCUUCUAAAAGACAUGUGUGUCCAUAAUGUAUGGGCAGGGUUAAAAUCCCCCUGCCUCAGUUCUUCCCUUGGAAACCAUGGCUCUCUAAAGAACUGCUCAAGUGAAUCUAACUAUGUCCUCUAUUACUGCAGUAGGCUGUAUUGACUCUUAAAACUGUGUUCCAACACUUAAAUUAAAAAACUCACACAAAAUAAAUAAUUCAAAAGGAUUAUUCACUUUUCCCCCAGAACAUAAACAUUUUAACACCUAACACUGAAACAGAGCUUCAAUCUUAGCAUUCAUCUGUAUUGUUAACCUGAGCUUAGGUGGUUUUGGUUCAGAAAAAAAAAAUCAUCUCAUGAUACCAACAAAAUAAAAUAAAAAUAACUGAGCCUAUGAAAUUUAUCAAGCUUAGAGCUAAGCCAGGGGGGAAUGUAAUUACCAUUUAAAUAUAGCAACAUGAAAUUCUUUGAAGGUAUAUACCUUUUGAUGUUAGGUCUCAAAUGCCAAGAAGAAAAAAAAAUCUCAGAUCCUAACAUUGUUCAGAGGAAGUCUGGGAAAAACAAAUGUAUCUCCUAAAACCUCUCUCUCCAAAGAAGUAUGGACCCAUUUGUAGUCAGCAAUGGUCUUAUUAGCAAGAUUUUACUAAAUAAUUGCCAACUCUUGAGAAAUACCAGGGAGAAAGGCCAACACGAGGGAUAGACGACUCUUCUGACUCUCAACUUGGAAGAAAUACACAGUCUGAGAGACUGAGCACAUGCGACUAUGCUGUUGGAGACUGUUGCCUAUUAUGGGAAACCUGAUUAUAAUAGUGUGACUUCCAGCAUCCCUUGACAUCAGAAGGUUGUUCAUCCUUUCAGCACAGCAUAAAGCUAGAAAUGCUUGCUGGUAAACUUAGUUUCUUAACAUACACCAAUGGGAACUGUCUUUGGAGGGCUCUUAUAAGUAAUCAGAAAUGCUGGACAGUCCCAUACUUGUAGAUGGAGGUAAGAAAGAUUUCUCACUUUUUCACAAUAACGUAACAAGUGACUGGAUUAAAAACAACGAAUUUUACAUUGUACAGGCAUGUUUAUAGUUAGCCUUCAACCAUAAAACAUUGCCCCACUUUUAAUUCCUAGUUGCUUACACAAUGUUAGGAAAAUAAAAUAAUUCAAUAAAUCCUAUUAAGUAAUUUGUGUGUCUCGUUCUCCUUCUCUGUGUAUGUGCAUGCAUGUUUACAUGCAUGCAGGUAGGUGCACGAGCAUCGUAUACGAUCAUGGAGGCUCAAUGUUAACAUCUAGUGUCUUUCUCAAUCUCCCCUGUCCCCAUUCUGUGUUUAUUGUGGCAGGGUUUUAUUGAAAUUAAAUCUUACCAAUUCUGAAUAGCUAUCCAGUUUGGAAGUAGGAUUUCCUCUCUCUGAUUGCCAGGUGCUAGGAUGGCAGGCGCCCUCCAUCCCUGCCAGAGAUGUGAACUGCCACCCUCACACUUUCUUGGCAAGUUUGCCAAGUGCUCUAUCCACUGACACAUCUCACAGGAACAUGUAUGUGCUUGUACACACACACAGACACACACACACAUACACACAGAGUAUCUCUCAGUAUCUCUACAAAACAAAAGUCAUGAAAUUGAAAUACAGCGAAACACAAAACAGACAACCUCUAAUUAAAAAAAGACAACAGGAAGAGGGAGGAGGCAGAACCCUCAAAAGUACUGAGUCUUUUCAUCAGUUCUGGCUUUAAUUAACUAUGAUCGCUUGUACAACUUAGAAUACAGCUAAUUCUGCCAUAUUCUUAUGAUCAAAAACUUAUCUCCAAAUAGGAGAUGUUAAUUUCUCAGAUUUACAUAGCAUGUAGUUUAUGAUCAUUUAAUGACAAAAAGAAAGCAAUAAUUGUUCCUUAAAUGGCAUAAUUGACACCUUUUGCAGCAUUUCUAACAUUUUCCCUAAAUAUCAAAGUCUUUAAUCUUAAUUAUUCAAAAGGUAGCAUGUGUCUGUAAAAUAGGAAAAUUAUGCAACAGUUUGCUCAUAACCACAAUAUAGUAAGAAGGAUCUUCAGAUUUGCAUUACAAAGCAGAAAGAGCAAGAAAGAGAGAGAGAAAGAGAGAGAGAGAGAGAGAGAGAGAGAGAGAGAGAGAGAGAGAGAGAGAGAGAGAGAAGAGAGAGGCAGAAGAAAGAGCAUGCCUGGAAUUGCUAGCAUUUCUCUGUGUCCAGGAAUAAUGCAUAGCUGGAGCAUUAUAAAUAAACUAUACUGACAGGUGAUGUCAGUGAAGGGGAAACUAUACCUGGCACUGAAACCUGUGUCUGAGUGUUAGUGACUCAGAAACUGCUGUACAGUAGGACUAUCUUGGGUGCUUUUAGCCAGUGACUAGAGAAGAACCAUAAGCAGAAGUAUGUUUUAAUCUCAAGGUGAUUUGACAGAAAAACCAUGCAUUUAUGAAGUGACAUCCUAGUCUAGAUGAGUAGGUGCCAACUCUGUUCAUCUGAGCAACAUGUUGGAAGUUACAGGCUAACAGCAGUAAUGAAGGAAGGAAGGAAGGAAGGAAGGAAGGAAGGAAGGAAGGAAGGAAGGAAGGAAGGAAGGAAGGAAAAGGAAAAGGAAAAGGAAAAGGAAAAGGAAAAGGAAAAGGAAAAGGAAAAGGAAAAGGAAAAGAAAAAGAAAAAGAAAAAGAAAAGGAAAAAGGCAUCAUCUGUCUUAAACCAAAUGAACACAAAUAUUUGGUCCAGAAACUUGAACCAAUCUUUAAAAAGCACAUUUUUAAAAAAUCCUAAUAUGAUCUGAAUGUGAAAUCCAGAUUGAGAAGAAUAUAGUGGAUCUUAAGGUUAAUAAAACACUCUUAAACCAUUUAUGACAUUUAGACAAACAUACUUUCUUUGCAAAGCAGAAGACUAUGCCUUGCCAAAUACAAUAUGCCUUACAAAACAAAACUGUUCUCCUAUGGUGGAAAUUGAGCUUGUCUGGUCAGAUAAGUAAUAUACUAAGGUCAAAGAACAAGACUUUUCCAAAUAUUCCAUCAACAAGGGUGGUAUUUAUAGAACUCAGAAUAUCUUAAGUGUUGAAAAGAAAAUAUGUCUCAUAUUGGUUAAGGACAUAAAUCAUCCCAAAGUGUCUAGAUACUAAGUGAAAAUGUCUGAAAUUCACUUGGAGGGAAAUUCAUUUGAAAGAAAACAUUUUCCAGAGCCUUCAAACUUGACCCACUCUUUUAUCUUUGAAGAAUGUCAUGUUCCUGCAGAUGAAGUCUACAGUAUGUUCCGCCUAAAAGCUGUCAGUGACCCAGACAGCUAGUGCACCGUUUACAGUACCAGCUUUCCCAUUUGUUUUUUAAAGUCUAAUUUUUAAUCUAUGACCAUUCACUACCUCCCAAAUCCUUAACCCCGUUUUGUAGAGAAAACACUGCAAUAGUUUAAUGGUUUAGUUUCACGUCUCUUGUGCCUACCCAGAUUCACUUCUGUGAGACUACAGCCAUCCUUUAUUUAGAAAUAUUCUCAGUCUUUGUGUUACUUAGGUAAAAGUAAUUUCCUCAGGCUGUUUUUAUGUCGUGUUCUCUUGAAGGCUUAGGCACUACAGUGAAGAUGAACUACAGCCAUAUGAAGCAAGACAGAUGAUCACUAGGGGAACAGCUGCACUUUUAGACACAAUGGCCCCGAAGAAAAUUAAACAGACAGGGGUUUGGGGACGGGUAGGAGAAAAGGAAUUGGAGGGAUUGCAGGCAAGGAAUGCUUUAUUGAGGAAGUAGUUUCUGAGCCAAGAGCUGAAAGCCAAGAGAUAGAAGGUCACGGCAUACUAAGGCCCACAGGCCGCAGAAGAGAGGCUGCCAAUUCCAAGAGAUGCUCUCAAGGUGCCUCUGGUGAGUGCCAGUAGAGAGCUGCCAGCAGCAACCCAAAGGGACGAAUGAACCAGUGCCCUGUGAACCCUCCCACAGGUGAAAGUAACACUGCUCUCUCCCCCUAUUUAUCCUUUCUGUCUUAAAAUUCCACUUGACCCCUUGAGCUGUGUUCUGAGCAAACACUAAUGCAAUACAUUUUGCAGCAAUCAUGGCUUUUAUCUGGAUGGUUGCAAAGAGGAGGGAAGCCAUACUGUGGAGUCCUUCCACUACUGAGUAAAUGCACCCCUCUCUUUGAAGUGUGUAAUAAGUGAUUGUUUCAUAAUCUGUAGUACCUGAAAUACUUAGUGACAUAUCUCCUUAGCCAAACAAACCUUAAGGAAAAAUAGCAACGUGCAGUUUGAAGGAGAUUGGUUUGUUUAAACACAAGCCUGGAAACGGAGAGACAGCAUUUGAAACAGCAAAGAACUGGCUGCAGUCCAAAAGUCCAUGGGCACAAGAAAGGAGAUAUUGUAAGGAUGCAUUCAGAGAGUCUGAUAGAUGGAGCAGUUGGAAUGAGCUCCAGCUUGGAAAACGCAAGCCAAAGAAAAACCCUGUGUGUGAUUCUGACUAAGAAAAGCCAAACAGUAUCUUAUGUAGGAACUUAGAGAUCUGUGAUAAAAUAUAGGACCCUUACACACACACACACACACACACACACACACACACACACACACACACACACACACAAUUUCAGAAUAGAGAUUACGUGACUACAUGGAGAAGGAAGAAGGCAAGACUACAGAAGGCUCACCCAGAUGUCUCAGAAACUGGAAAGUUCCAUUCUUAGUUGGCAAUAGAAAGACAAAUAUUUGUUUCCAUGUUGUUCUUUAUGAGUGAUGCCUUAAAUAUUUUAAGUAAUAUUUUGCAUGUAUUCAACAUUAACAAUCAAAACAAGAUAUUAGACUCUUCUUUCAGCAAGAAUGCAGAUCUUGACACAAAUGACACUCUUGCUUAUGACUUGCACUGAAAUCCCUCUUUUAAAGUUUAUAGACAUCCUUCUUGUAUUUAUUCUUUCUUUUAAUGAACAGUGUCAAGAAAAGGAAAAAAUUCCCACUCUCUGAAAUGAAAGGGAAAAUCAGAGUCAAUUAUGAAUAAAAAUUAUUCAACCAGGAGAAACUCAUGUGUUUUUAUCCAUCUUUUUAGUUUUUAUUUCAAUUUCUUUUUCUUUUUCCUUUUUUUGGGGGGAGUGGCGGGGGGGGGAGGCAGGGUCCUACUAUGUAGCUCUAGCUGUCCUAGAACCUACUAUGUAGACCAGACUGGCCUUGAUCUCAUGGAGAACCUCCUGCCUCUGCCUCCUAAGUGUUGGUAUCAAAAGCAAGUACCACCACAACCAGCUGUAUAUUCAUCUUUGACAGAGUAAACUACGGUGUCCUUAGCUAAUUCACAUGUAACAUAGCAUAGAGUCUUCGAGGAAUACUGCAGUUCCAUUCAUUUAGAACAGUGUGUUUACAGGAAACUGAAGUCUAAUUUUCUUAAGCAUCAUAGGCAAGUACUUCCAAAAAUAAUAAAAGAAUAAUAAAACCAUUACAUAUCCAUGCAAAUCAAAAUUCACAGAACAGUGGCAGGCAGCCAACCCAACUAUUUCAGGUCUGCUGUCCCAUCUGCUUGGCCUGUUAACUGUCGGGAAAUACAAGCAAAUCAUUUCUUCUGCAACUAAUUCACAACAGGAUUCCUAAAAACCAGACUCCAUGAUGCAACUUUAAUAAGACGAAACAGCUUAUUAUGAUCAAUAAAGCAAAGCCUCGCAGCAGUUGAGAGGUGAAUGCUGGCUCAAAGGCUCUUCAGUAGACUUGAGGCACAUGUACCAGCAUCCUUGCCUGGCUCUGUGGAAGGUCCACAGCCAGGACACCCUCAGACAUCAGGGAGCAACUCUCUCUGCCUUGAUUCCUCUCUGCACAUGAACCCAAAGGCAGUCUCUUUCUGCUAGUCUUUAUUAGCCCCAAUAUGUGGCAAUUAACUUACUGCAGGCUCUUAAUUCAUAAAUGGAUCAAAUAAAGCUUUCCAUGGCUUUUGGCAGCCACCCCUUACUAAAUUAUGGUGACUAGAAGUUAGUUCAAAUGCUGCUUAUAUCUCAUCCCCUUCAGCCUGUAAAGUUCAGUUAGGGAGUUCUUAGCUUAUUGUGUCUGUAUUAAGCCUUCCAAGAAGGAAUUAUUCAUGUGUUUUCCAUCGGAGGGUGGGAAGGGAAGAUGGCAGUGAAGCAAUCUCUAGAAUGUUGAUCCAGCUAUUACCUUUUUUUUUUUUUUUUUUUUUUUUUUUUUUUUAGGA